UUUUAACUAAUGCUACGUACACUUCUUCCUUCAACAAACCGCCUAGAAUAAUUUGUGUGUGUUUGUUUUUUUUUUCUUUGAAGCGCAAGAGGUUAUGGGGGAAACAUUUUGGUCAGCAGAGACACUUGUUCUGGGAACAUUAUUUUGGACUGCAAAGCCACGUGGGAGCUACGUUUAGAUUACCAAUAUUAUAACUACAAGCACCAUUCUGGUAGCCUCAUAGUUAUAGACUCUCAAAAUGGUGAUCUUUUGCUUAGGGAGAUCUCAACUGAAAACCUUAUUGUACUCCCUGCUGAUGGAUGUUCCUGUCAUCUACCAUUGUCUGCUACUAGUUGUUGGCAAAUGCAGCCACAACAACAUUGUACCAAUUGUGUAGUUUAUAAUUCUCAGUAUUUUGUGUU